rnacentral:tRNA from 2 species
GCCGGGGUGGCGGAACAGGGAGACGCUCGGGACUUAAAAUCCUGCGGGCUUCGGCUCAUGCGGGUUCGACUCCCGCCCCCGGCACCA